ensembl:misc_RNA Metazoa_SRP Metazoan signal recognition particle RNA
GCUGGGCAUGGUGGUGCAUGCCUGUAAUCCUAGUUCCUCGGGAAGCUGAGGCAGGAGAAUUGCUUGAACCCAGGAGGUGGAGAGUGCAGUGAGCCGAGGUUGCAGUGAGCCGAGAUCGCGCCAUUGCACCCCAGCCUGGGUGACAGAGCAAGACUCUAUCUCAA